rnacentral:rRNA from 1 species
CCCUAUGGGGUGCAGCAGGCGCGAAACCUUUACAAUGCACGCAAGUGUGAUAAGGGAAUCCCUAGUGCUCAUGUACUGCAUGGGCUUUUGCUAAGUGUAAAUAGCUUGGCGAAUAAGUGGUGGGUAAGACUGGUGCCAGCCGCCGCGGUAACACCAGCGCCACGAGUGGUAACCACGUUUAUUGGGCCUAAAGCGUCCGUAGCCGGUUUGAUAAAUCUUUUGUGAAAUUGUUUGGCUUAACCAAACAGCGUGCAAGAGACACUGUCAAACUCGAGACCGGGAGGAGUCAGAAGUAUUCCAGAGGGAGCGGUAAAAUGUUAUAAUCUCUGGAGGACUACCUGUGGCGAAGGCGUCUGACCAGAACGGAUCUGACGGUGAGGGACGAAAGCCAGGGGAGCGAACCGGAUUAGAUACCCGAGUAGUCCUGGCCGUAAACGCUGUGAGCUAGGUGUUGCACCAGCUACAUGUUGGUGCAGUGUCGAAAAGAAGUUGUUAAGCUCACCGCCUGGGAAGUACGGUCGCAAGACUGAAACUUUAAGGAAUUGGCGGGGGAGCACCACAAGGGGUGCGGCGUGCGGUUUAAUCUAACUCAACGCAGAGAACCUUACUAGAAGCGACGGCAGGAUGAAGAUCAGCUUGAAGAGCUUAUCUGACAAGCCGAGAGGUGGUGCAUGGCC